rnacentral:rRNA from 1 species
CCUACGGGAGGCAGCAGUGGGGAAUAUUGGACAAUGGGGGCAACCCUGAUCCAGCCAUGCCGCGUGUGUGAAGAAGGCCUUCGGGUUGUAAAGCACUUUCAGUUGGGAAGAAAAGCCUGGGGUUAAUACCCCCGGGUCUUGACGGUACCUACAGAAGAAGCACCGGCUAAUUCCGUGCCAGCAGCCGCGGUAAU